rnacentral:rRNA from 1 species
UACGAAGGGGGCUAGCGUUGCUCGGAAUUACUGGGCGUAAAGGGCGCGUAGGCGGACAGUUUAGUCAGAGGUGAAAGCCCAGGGCUCAACCUUGGAAUUGCCUUUGAUACUGGCUGUCUUGAGUUCGGGAGAGGUGAGUGGAAUGCCGAGUGUAGAGGUGAAAUGCGUAGAUAUUGGGAGGAACACCAGUGGCGAAGGCGGCUCACUGGACCGGUACUGACGCUGAUGCGCGAAAGCGUGGGGAGCAAACGGG